rnacentral:lncRNA from 10 species
AACGGGAUAAGGAGUCGGGGGAGGAGUAAAGGUGAAUUUGAAUGCUCUUGGAUUGUUUUUUCCCUGGGUGGGCCCAGGUCUGGGAUGGGUUCACGCCCACCCUGCCUGUCCUCCACCCCCCAUGGCAGAGGCCUGUCUGGUCCACUGGGAGGACCCACCUGCCAUGUCUGGUCAGGAGGCGGAGGCUGAGGCUCUCCUCAGAACCCAGCCUCGCUGUGUCGGGCUAGGCCAAGCUCAGGACGGGACUCUGUCCCGGGCCAGGGUCCCUCGGCUCACCCUGCUCUGGGAAGGGGCUCUCUCCUGGCCAGGCUGCGCACUUCCUAUCGCUUCCACCUGCAGGCCAGGCUGUCCCCAGCCCAAACCUCCUUAGCACAUCUCCUCUGACUAUGGGGGCUGGGGUGGCUUAAGAGAGGGUGAUUGGAGGGCUGGAGAGGGUGGCAGGCCCUGUCUGACCCUUGCUUGAACUGGGUGGGCUGGCCCCAGCUGCCUGGACCUGAACCUGAGGACUGGGGUGAACUGGAAGGCAGAGGGUCCUUGGCGGGAAGGUCCGUGCCCACUGCUCCCCUGUCAGCAGCCACUCUUGGCGUCUCUGGGACUCUCAGGCCGGUGGAAAACCCCCUCCUGUCCUCCCCACAUCGUCCCGUCCGUGUCCCUGCCUCAGCCAGGACCAGGCCCCUGUCGGGCUCAGGGCAUCAGGCUGUGGCUGCGUCCACAGAAGCCCUGCGUGUGUGCACUGCUGGUGCCCCUGGCAUUGGAACGUCCAGGUUCUGAGUCCCCCAAGGGCGGCCAUGGGUCUUUCUUGUGGCUGGUGAUGCCUUCCCUGGGUCUGCCCUGAGUGGCCCCCGCUGCCCUGGGUUCCCAGCUCUCUGCAGGGCGCAGCCUCAGUGUGCUAGCCCCGUCCCGCCUCUUCAGCCAUCCCAGGCCUCAGGACCUGAGCUCUCCGACGCCCACAUGACAUGGCUGAACUUUGUCCGGCGGCCGGACGACAGCGCCUUGAGGAAGCGGUGCGGAAGCAGGGACAAGAAGCAGCGGGACCUCUUGGGUCCCCCAGGACCUCCUGGGCCCCCCGGCCCCCCAGGACCUCCAGGUGCAGAAGUUACCCCGGAGACUCUGCUUCGCGAGUUUCAGGAGCUGCUGAAAGAGGCCACGGAGCACCGGUUCUCAGGGCUCCUGGACCCACUGCUGCCCCAGGGGGUGGGCCUGUGGCUGGUGGGAGAGGCCUUUCAUUGCCGGCUGCAGGGCCCCCGCCGGGUGGACAAGCGGACACUGGUGGAGCUGCAUGGUUUCCAGGCUGUGAGUGGGGCCAGGAGCCCAGAGGGGGGCACUGGGUGGGGCCCCACAGGCAAGACGGGACCACACACACUGUCUGACACUCACGGGGCACCCACGUGAGUUGGGAGUUGGGAGGGGCUCGGAGGGCGAGGGGCUGCCUCGGGUGAGGGUUGGGAGGCCCUGGGGUCCCAGACCACACC